AUUGAACGCUGGCGGCAGGCCUAACACAUGCAAGUCGAACGGUAACAGGAAGAAGCUUGCUUCUUUGCUGACGAGUGGCGGACGGGUGAGUAAUGUCUGGGAAACUGCCUGAUGGAGGGGGAUAACUACUGGAAACGGUAGCUAAUACCGCAUAACGUCGCAAGACCAAAGAGGGGGACCUUCGGGCCUCUUGCCAUCGGAUGUGCCCAGAUGGGAUUAGCUAGUAGGUGGGGUAACGGCUCACCUAGGCGACGAUCCCUAGCUGGUCUGAGAGGAUGACCAGCCACACUGGAACUGAGACACGGUCCAGACUCCUACGGGAGGCAGCAGUGGGGAAUAUUGCACAAUGGGCGCAAGCCUGAUGCAGCCAUGCCGCGUGUAUGAAGAAGGCCUUCGGGUUGUAAAGUACUUUCAGCGGGGAGGAAGGGAGUAAAGUUAAUACCUUUGCUCAUUGACGUUACCCGCAGAAGAAGCACCGGCUAACUCCAUG
rnacentral:rRNA from 1 species